CUGGUCUGGCGAAAGGCUCCCGUGUGUCGCCUCGCAGUGUGGGUGCGGCCUCGUACCGGGCAGCGUGACCCUGACCUACAGCAAACGCCCCAGAGCCCAAGGGCCUCCCGGGGCGCGUCUGCAGUAACAGGUGUGAGCAUCCUAGCAGCAGUUUGAUGAUCAUGUAUGAUACUGCACACAGAA
ensembl:snoRNA